rnacentral:rRNA from 1 species
UACCAGCACCCCGAGUGGUCGGGACGAUUAUUGGGCCUAAAGCAUCCGUAGCCGGUUUUACAAGUCCCCCGUUAAAUCCAGCUGCUUAACAGAUGGGCUGCGGAGGAUACUAUAAGACUAGGAGGCAGGAGAGGCAAGCGGUACUCAGUGGGUAGGGGUAAAAUCCGUUGAUCCAUUGAAGAACCACCAGUGGCGAAGGCGGCUUGCCAGAAUGCGCUCGACGGUGAGGGAUGAAAGCUGGGGGAGCAAACCGGG